CAUUAGAUGAAAUCUGGACCGUUGAUCAGUGCCUUUUAUCUCCUAUUCACAAUCGAGAACGUCAUCAGCCAUCGAAUCAACCUCCAGAUCAAUUUCCAACCAUUGGAUCAUGCUCUGGAUCUCUUCUUCACUUAGUUUUCCGUCGGCAAUCAACAGCAACCAUUAGAUCUUGUUUCAAAUCAAUUUGGACCGUCAGAUCGUGC
rnacentral:lncRNA from 1 species